rnacentral:rRNA from 1 species
GGUCCGAGUUGUAAUUUGUAGAGGAUGCUUUGGGUGCGGCGCCUUCCAAGUUCCCUAGAACGGGACGCCUUAGAGGGUGAGAGCCCCGUACGGUUGGACGCCUAGCCUAUGUAUAGCUCCUUCGACGAGUCGAGUAGUUUGGGAAUGCUGCUCUAAAUGGGAGGUAAAUUUCUUCUAAAGCUAAAUACCGGCCAGAGACCGAUAGCGCACAAGUAGAGUGAUCGAAAGAUGAAAAGUACUUUGAAAAGAGGGUUAAAUAGCACGUGAAAUUGUUGAAAGGGAAGCGUUUGCGACCAGACCUUUUCCAGGCGGAUCAUCCGGCGUUCUCGCCGGUGCACUUCGCCUGGUUUAGGCCAGCAUCGGUUUUCCCAGGGGGAUAAAGGCGGCGGGAACGUGGCUCUCUCGGGAGUGUUAUAGCCCGCCGCGUAAUACCCUUGGGGGGACCGAGGACCGCGCUUCGGCAAGGAUGCUGGCGUAAUGGUCGUCAACGACCCGUCUUGAAACACGGACCAAGGAGUCGAACAUUUGUGCGAGUGUUUGGGUGUCAAACCCUCACGCGUAAUGAAAGUGAACGGAGGUGAGAGCCCCUCGCGGGUGCAUCAUCGACCGAUCCUGAUGUCUUCGGAUGGAUUUGAGUAAGAGCAUAACUGUUCGGACCCGAAAGAUGGUGAACUAUGCGUGGAUAGGGUGAAGCCAGAGGAAACUCUGGUGGAGGCUCGCAGCGGUUCUGACGUGCAAAUCGAUCGUCAAAUCUGCGCAUGGGGGCGAAAGACUUAUCGAACCAUCUAGUAGCUGGUUACCGCCGAAGUUUCCCUCAGGAUAGCAGUGUUGUCUUCAGUUUUAUGAGGUAAAGCGAAUGAUUAGGGACUCGGGGGCGCUAUUUUGCCUUCAUCCAUUCUCAAACUUUAAAUAUGUAAGAAGCCCUUGUUACUUAAUUGAACGUGGGCAUUCGAAUGUACCAACACUAGUGGGCCAUUUUUGGUAAGCAGAACUGGCGAUGCGGGAUGAACCGAACGCGGGGUUAAGG